UAGCUAGCAAGGAUAUGGCGGCAGCCUCCUAAGCUGUAAGCCGGGGGUUCGAAUCCCUC
rnacentral:tRNA from 1 species